UUCACCCCCUUACGCGGUUCCUCUAAUUUCUUUUUAUUAUUUUCAUGUUCCUGGAUAGGGUUGAAACAAUAAUUUUUUGGGUAAUAGCUAGUCAACGUAAAUCAAUUAUAGUGUUGGCGAUUGAGUUAUUAAAAUUUUGAGACUGUAAACUGGUAACAGCUGCAGAACAAGAUGCUCUUAUAUCUCCUCAGUAUUAAAAUGCAAUUAUUUGGUUGAAAAUAGUUUAGUAAAACAUUUGUAUUAGAUACUUGAUUUCAUAGAUUUUUGUUUGGUAUAACAUAAUUGAAUUAAAUAUUAAUUCUUUAUUUCUCUAAACAAAAAUUACUUGAAUAUUUCAACAUUUCAAAUAACGUUUCACACUAUUCAUAGAUAUUUUGUAUAAUUAAAUUACAACACGAUUUGAAAUCAUGUCUAUAUAUAUUGAACUAAAUCAUCGAUACUUUAAAGAACAUUAACCAUCCUUUUAUUUAGUUUUUGGGGUUUGGAUCAUUUUACUUUCACAUUAUAACAUUGCGUAAGUAAAUAGAUAAAGAACGUUGGAAUUAGGCUCAACUCAAUAUAGCAUUAGUGGAAGAUAUGGGAACUUUAGAUUUUAUUUUUGCUAGAACAAGUAAUAACAUAGUAAAUGAGAAUCCAGUGACAUGUCUCAAAAAGUAAAUCCAAUGUUUUUACUGCGAUAUCUUGAAAUUUGAAAGAGAGAGGGACAGAGAGUGUGGGGACCAGAGACACCCAUGUUUCUUGUCUUGUUUAUCUUUGGUUCUCCACUAAAUUUCUUCAUAAAAAGCCCUUUUUAUUUCUUCAUUCUCUCUUCUAUCAUCACCACUCACUUAUCUUCUUCUCCAUCUCGUCUCUCUCUCUCUGUUUCUCUCUAGAUCUUAGCCGGGUCUUGUGGGAGGAGAAAACCGAUAGAGAGAUAAUUUUAGAUCAUUACAAACCAUACAAGGAUUCUUCGAUGGGAAGGGGCUUUCUCUUUUGAGGGGAAUGUUGUUUGGCUCGAAGACUCUAGCUAUUCAUGUUAGAUCUUCUUCGAUCUAAUCGAAUCACACCUCCAUGUUUGAGAUCUGAUUAGGAUUUUAGGGUCGUCGGACCAGGCUUCAUUCCCCCCAAUUAUUGCUCCCUGCUUACUCUCCAACGUACCUUUUUUCUUAAUUUAGGGUUUCAGAUCUUGUGGUUGAACCCUUGUUAAAGAUACUUUUGCAUGCGAAGAUCAUCUUGAUUCUGGAUAUCGUUUCUCCUUCUAAAUUACCCUCACAAUACAUCUUGUAACCAUUUUCAUAUAUUAAUCUUGUAUAUGAUCUAGUGGUCUUAAUUAUAUUUCUUUUAUAUAAUUACAUUUGGAGUAUUAUAUUUAUAUCAUCUGUUCGUCAA